CAAGUCGAACGAGAAGUCUGGAGGUUCAAGUUUUCGGACAAGAACUUUCGGAGGAAAGUGGCGGAAGGGUGAGUACAACAUGGAUAAUCUACCUUCAAGUUGGGUAUAGCUUCCCGAAAGGGGAGAUAAUCCCGAAUGUGGUGAUCCGGCGCCUGUCGGAGAAUCCAAAGGUGGGGACCGCAAGGCCUGCCGCUUGAAGAUGAGUCCGUGCACUAUCAGCUAGUUGGUGAGGUAAUGGCUCACCAAGGCGAUGACGGUUAGCUGGUCUGAGAGGAUGGUCAGCCACACUGGGACUGAGAUACUGCCCAGACUCCUACGGGAGGCUGCAGUCGAGAAUCAUUCGCAAUGGGCGCAAGCCUGACGGUGCGACGUCGCGUGGAGGAUGAAGGUCUUCGGAUUGUAAACUCCUGUCAUGUGGGAUAAAUGGCCAGGGCAUGAAUAGUGCCUUGGAAUGAUAGUACCACAGGAGGAAGGGACGGCUAACUCUGUG
rnacentral:rRNA from 1 species